GUGCCAGCAGCCGCGGUAAUACGAAGGGUGCAAGCGUUAAUCGGAAUUACUGGGCGUAAAGCGUGCGUAGGCGGUUGUUUAAGUCUGCUGUGAAAUCCCCGGGCUCAACCUGGGAAUGGCAGUGGAUACUGGACGGCUAGAGUGUGUCAGAGGAUGGUGGAAUUCCCGGUGUAGCGGUGAAAUGCGUAGAGAUCGGGAGGAACAUCAGUGGCGAAGGCGGCCAUCUGGGACAACACUGACGCUGAGGCACGAAAGCGUGGGAGCAAACAGGAUAGAUACCCUGGUAGUCCACGCCCUAAACGAUGCGAACUGGAUGUUGGUCUCAACUCGGAGAUCAGUGUCGAAGCUAACGCGUUAAG
rnacentral:rRNA from 1 species